UACGAAGGGGGGCUAGCGUUGUUCGGAAUUACUGGGCGUAAAGCGUGCGCAGGCGGCUUCUCAAGUCAGGGGGUGAAAGCCCAGAGCUCAACUCUGGAAUUGCCUUUGAGACUGAGUGGCUUGAGUACGAGAGAGGUGAGUGGAAUUCCCAGUGUAGAGGUGAAAUUCGUAGAUAUUGGGAAGAACACCGGUGGCGAAGGCGGCUCACUGGCUCAUUUCUGACGCUCAGGCGCGACAGCGUGGGGGAUCAAACAGG
rnacentral:rRNA from 1 species